rnacentral:lncRNA from 1 species
GGAAGCGAGCUAAGUAUGUGUGGCAAUCGUUUCUCAUUUUUGCGAGAGCUUAGAUCGGUUAGCAAGAUCUGCCAGAGCAAUUAAAGAGCAAUAGGAAAAAUUGCCUAUGACUUAGUUCACUAGACUAUCCACCUAAGUUUUAAGUUCCUUAAAAUUCUAAGGCAGUCUCAAAAGCCUUUUAUUGCUUAGUACCUUCCUACGAAAAUUCUAAGUUUGAUCUUGAAACAAGUUGGACAUACC